rnacentral:rRNA from 1 species
GGCUUAAUACAUGCAAGUCAAGGGGUAGCAAUACACCGGCGUACGGGUGCAUAACGCGUAUGGAACCUGCCCUUAUCUGGGGGAUAACUCGGGGAAACUCGAGCUAAUACCGCAUAAGAUAGUAAGAGGCAUCUCUUAGCUAUUAAAGAUUUAUCGGAUAAGGAUGGCCAUGCGUAAGGUUAGAUAGUUGGCGAGGUAACGGCUCACCAAGUCUACGAUCUUUAGGGGCUCUGAGAGGAGAAUCCCCCACACUGGCACUGAGAUACGGGCCAGACUCCUACGGGAGGCAGCAGUAGGGAAUAUUGGGCAAUGGGCGGAAGCCUGACCCAGCCACGCCGCGUGCAGGAAGACGGCCCUCUGGGUUGGUACUGC